GACGAACGCUGGCGGCGUGCUUAACACAUGCAAGUCGAGCGGACAGGCCACUUCGGUGGUACUCGAGCGGCGAACGGGUGCGUAACACGUGAGUAAUCUGCCCCUACCUUUGGGAUAGCCACCGGAAACGGUGAUUAAUACCGGAUAUGACCAUUUGUCGCAUGGCGUGUGGUGGAAAGUUUUUCGGUGUGGGAUGUGCUCGCGGCCUAUCAGCUUGAUUGCGAGAGAUUGGUUGACAAUGGCUUGGACUGGUAGCCGACCUUAGAGGGUGAACGGUCACAAGGGGACUGAGAGAGGGCGCAGACGCGUAUGGUAGGCAGCAGUGGGGAAUAUUGGACAAUGGGGGCAAGCCUGUGCUAGCAACGCCGCGAGCGUGAUGACGUCCUUCGGGUGGUAAACCUCUGUCAGUGCCGACGAAGCGAAAGUGACGGUAGGUACAGAAGAAGCACCGGCCAACUACGUG
rnacentral:rRNA from 1 species